AGUGGCGUAAGGGUGAGUAACGCGUGGGCAAUCUACUCCCGAGACAGGUAUAACCUAUCGAGAGGUAGGCUAAUACCAGAUAAGAUUGCUGAGAGGCAUCUCUCGGUAAUAAAAGGUGGCUUAAUCCGCUUUAGUGUGGAUGCUGUCGCUUGGGAAGGAGCCUGCGUCCCAUUAGCUAGUUGGUAGAGUAAUAGCCUACCAAGGCGACGAUGGGUAGCCGACCUGAGAGGGUGACCGGCCACACUGGGACUGAGACACUGCCCAGACUCCUACGGGGGGCUGCAGUCGAGAAUCUUUCGCAAUGGACGAAAGUCUGACGAAGCGACGCCGCGUGAGCGAUGAAGGUCUUCGGAUUGUAAAGCUCUGUCACCAGGGAAGAAAAUAGCCUGAUGAAUAGUCAGGUGACUUGACGGUACCUGGAGAGGAAGCCCCGGCUAACUCCGUGCCAGCAGCCGCGGUAAGACGGAGGGGGCGAGCGUUGUUCGGAUUUAUUGGGCGUAAAGAGCGUGUAGGUGGUUAUUUAAGUCGAGCGUGAAAGCCUCUGGCUCAACCAGAGAUCGUCGCUCNAAACUGGGUGACUAGAGGGUAGGAGAGGANAGUGGAAUUCCUGGUGUNNNGUGACNUGCGNANAUNUCAGAGGAACACCGAUGGGCGAAGGCNGCUCUC
rnacentral:rRNA from 1 species